rnacentral:rRNA from 1 species
ACUCCUACGGGAGGCAGCAGUGAGGAAUAUUGGUCAAUGGGCGAGAGCCUGAACCAGCCAAGUAGCGUGCAGGAAGACGGCCCUAUGGGUUGUAAACUGCUUUUAUAGGGGAAUAAAGUGAGCCACGUGUGGUUUUUUGCAUGUACCCUAUGAAUAAGGACCGGCUAAUUCCGUGCCAGCAGCCGCGGUAAUA